GGUGGACCAUGGCUCAGUGGUAUUGCUCCUGCCUUUCAAGCAGAAUUUCCUGGGUUCAAGCCCCAGUGUCUCCA